GCAGCGUGAGGUAGUUGGUUGUAUGGUUUCGCAUCAUAAACAGCCUGGAGAUAACUGUACAACCUUCUAGCUUUCCCUGC
rfam:Oryzias latipes DNA, scaffold1995, strain: Hd-rR.